AAAGUCGUAACAAGGUUUCCGUAGGUGAACCUGCGGAAGGAUCAUUAUUGAAUCUAAGCAAGCCUUGGCUUGCGCGUAUUUAAAACCCCACACUUUUGAAAAUAAAACAUAACUUACUUAAAAAUAAGUAAUUAAAGAUCACUUUCAACAACGGAUCUCUUGGCUCUC
rnacentral:misc_RNA from 1 species